rnacentral:rRNA from 1 species
GACGAACGCUGGCGGCGUGCUUAACACAUGCAAGUCGAACGGAAAGGCCCUGCUUUCGUGCGGUGACGGAGUGGCGAACGGGGGCGUAACACGAGAGUAACCUGCCCUUCUCUUUGGGAUAACUUAAGGAAACUGGGGUUACUACCGGACAGCAGACGACGUUGCAUGGAGGGCGUUGGAAAGUCUCGGCGGUCGGGGUUGGAUUCGCGGCUUAUCAGCUUGUUGGUUGGGUAGUGGCAGACCAAGGCUGUGACGGGUAGGCGGCCUGGGAGGGUGACCGGCGACAUUGGUCCUGAGGGACGGCGCAGACGGCAACGGGAGGCAGCAGUGGGGAAUAUUGCACAAUGAGCGGAAGCGUGUUGCAGCAACGCCGCGGGCGGGAUGACGGCCUUCGGGUUGAAAACCGCUUUCGGCUGAGACGAAGCGUGAGUGACGGUAAUGAGUGAAGAAGCACCGGCUAACUACGUG